CACCUUGAAAAUAAAAAAAAACGUACAAGGUUUCCGUAGGUGAACCUGCGGAAGGAUCAUUAC
rnacentral:rRNA from 1 species